GUAGUACUCCCUCCGUCCGGAAAUACUUGUCUUAAAAAUGGAUAAAAUUGAUGUAUCUAUAACUAAAAUGAGUCUACAUACAACAAUUUCUAGGACAAGUAUUUUUGGAUGGAGGGAGUAGUAU
rfam:Triticum aestivum genome assembly, contig: Triticum_aestivum_CS42_TGACv1_scaffold_542516_6DS